GAUGAACGCUGGCGGCGUGCCUAAUACAUGCAAGUCGAGCGAACAGACGAGGAGCUUGCUCCUUUGACGUUAGCGGCGGACGGGUGAGUAACACGUAGGUAACCUACCUAUAAGACUGGGAUAACUUCGGGAAACCGGAGCUAAUACCGGAUAAUAUUUCGAACCGCAUGGUUCGAUAGUGCAAGAUGGCUUUGCUAUCACUUAUAGAUGGACCUGCGCCGUAUUAGCUAGUUGGUAAGGUAACGGCUUACCAAGGCAACGAUACGUAGCUGACCUGAGAGGGUGAUCGGCCACACUGGAACUGAGACACGGUCCAGACUCCUACGGGAGGCAGCAGUAGGGAAUCUUCGGCAAUGGGCGAAAGCCUGACGGAGCAACGCCGCGUGAGUGAUGAAGGUCUUCGGAUCGUAAAACUCUGUUAUUAGGGAAGAACAAACGUGUAAGUAACUGUGCACGUCUUGACGGUACCUAAUCAGAAAGCCACGGCUAACUACGUG
rnacentral:rRNA from 1 species